AUACGGAGGAUGCAAGCGUUAUCAGGAUUUAUUGGGUUUAAAGGGUGCGUAGGCGGUUUGCUAAGCGGGAGGGGAAAUGCCGGCGCUCACCGUCGGAAGUGCCUCCCGAACUGGUGGACUGGAAUGACUCUGCCGUGGGAGGCAUGCGUAGUGGAGCGGGGAAAUGCUUAGAGAUUACACAGAACACCGAUUGCGAAGGCAUCUCACGAAGGGUUGAUUGACGCUGAGGCACGAAAGCGUGGGGAUCAAACAGGAUUAGAUACCCUGGUAGUCCACGCAGUAAACGAUGAUGGCUAACCGCUGGGCUUAUCAGUUCAGUGGCCAAGCGAAAGCGAUAAGCCAUCCACCUGGGGAGUACGACCGCAAGGUUGAAACUCAAAUGAAUUGACGGGG
rnacentral:rRNA from 1 species